rnacentral:rRNA from 1 species
CCUACGGGAGGCAGCAGUCGAGAAUCAUUCACAAUGGUGGAAACCCUGAUGGUGCGACGCCGCGUGGGGGAAUGAAGGUCUUCGGAUUGUAAACCCCUGUCAUGUGAGAGCAAAUUAGAAAGAUAGUACCACAAGAGGAAGAGACGGCUAACUCUGUGCCAGCAACCGCGGUAAUACAGAGGUCUCAAGCGUUGUUCGGAAUCACUGGUCGUAAAGCGUGCGUAGGCGGUUUCGUAAGUCGUGUGUGAAAGGUGCGGGCUCAACCCGCGGACGGCAAAUAAUACUGCGAGACUAGAGUAAUGGAGGGGUAACCGGAAUUCUCGGUGUAGCAGUGAAAUGCUUAGAUAUCGAGAGGAACACUCGUGGCGAAGGCGGGUUCCUGGACAUUAACUGACGCUGAGGCACGAAGGCCAGGGGAGCGAAAGGGAUUAGAUACCCCUGUAGUC